rnacentral:tRNA from 1 species
AAGGGAGACCUAAUUCCGGUAGGAGACGAAAAAAAAGUAGUCCCUACCAAGAAUCAAUCCCAAAAGGUCGAAGCGGGGCAAGAUUGGCUUUCAAACUAGGUUCUGGGUUCAAACAAGACCUGAAUCAGGAACAAGGGCUAUUAGCUCAGGUGGUUAGAGCGCACCCCUGAUAAGGGUGAGGUCCCUGGUUCGAGUCCAGGAUGGCCCACCUGCACAGGUGGCAAAAACAAAGAAGCGAGGAAUCAGCACCUUAUCUUACUCAUAUAGUAAGAGAGAAUGCUGGCUCUGAGUAAAGAGUCCAGAGGAACCUUGAAAACUGCAUAGAGCUAGGUGAAAAAGCCAAAAAAGAAGACCGCAA